rnacentral:lncRNA from 1 species
AAUUGGUUAUGUCACUUUAUUUUAUAACUAUUUUGUCCACAUUUUCCUUUUUCUAAGGAAUGAAUAUUUACUUGAAAGGCCCACAGACAUUAUUUAGUUAUCUUUACCAUGCAUUUGUUUCUUUUAAUAUGGCACCAUGUGGAAGUGUAGUUUUGCUCAACUCAUACGUGUGUGAAAGAAAGCAUAGUGAAUAUGACUAAGUGCAUAGGCCCAGGAACCAGAUGACCUGGGUUUAAAUCCCAGCUCUUACUGUGACCCUCAGGCAAGUGCCUUCUUUUAACUCAGUUUCCUCAUCUGUAAAACAGGAAUUUCAUUGUUUAAAAUUGUGGGGUCCAAUUAUUCUGAGGUUAAUAGUAAAGCAGUAUUUUUCAGGUGCCCUGGCACAAAAGGGCUGGAAGUGCAAAAAGAAAGACAAAUGGGACUGGAGCAAUAAAAUGGAAGAUGAAGGGGUGAUAUCCAGAGAUCAGAAAUUGGAGAUGCCCCUGGGCUGGCUGCUGCACCAUUGGAGGCACUGUUAGAGUCAAGCUUGGAUCUGCUGAAGAGGUGUCACUCAGCCAAAGGGUGCUGCCUCUGCCCUAGCUGGUCAUCUGGAUUCACUUCAUUCACAUAGCAGCAAGAGUAUCUGCCACCAACUACCAUACAUUUGGAGUCAAGAGCCUUUCUCUUUUUUUUUUCAGCCUUCUCAGUUCCUUUCAGUGCCUAACAAGAGAAGCAAGAGAGCCUGGAAAUGUAGUUUGAUACCUCCCAGCCCUAGAUGUUCACAGUAUAGAAGGGAUGGUAAAGGAGGUGGUGUUACAUUUCUGUACUGCUGGUGCAUUGAGAGACCCAAGCAAGUAUCAGGCUUUUCAUCCGUGGAACACAUGCUCCAGAACCUUCUAGCUGUUCACUUGUGAUGGAUACUCUGUUAGCCUUCACUAUUGAAUGCACUUUUAAAAAUGAUCAAAACCAACAUUUCCCACAGUAUGAAAUGUUUGCAAAAAAGUGUAAACUUAUUACUCAUCCAAGAUGUGGGCCAAUGCUUCUUUUCAAACUUGUGCUAACUAAUAACAGAGACCAGAGCUGGAACUUAGUCAAGGCAAAGCUACAAGCCAAACAGUGGUGGAGAAGGGUGGAACAUGUCGUGACUUGAGGUAAUGAUGAGCAUGUGGGUGAAGUGAGGGGCAGUAAGACCAUAUGGGGAACGCUGAGGCCAAGUGGGUGUGUGUCAAUGGAGGGCAUGCAUGCAUAGGGUUGGGCACUGGGCACUCCCCGUAUAACCACUAACAGAUUAAAAACUCUGGUACUUUUGCUGAUUCCUUAAAUAAGGGAAUAUAUGGAAUUUUGUAUAAGUCUCAGUUGUGAUGAAUUGUUCCUCAGUUGUGAUGAAUUGUUUCUGCAGUUAACCAAAUUGGGAUUUGGAACAUUUAAAAGCCUGAUAUACAAUGUACAAAAUUCAGUAGCACUUCUGUACUUCUUUUUUUGUUUUUUUGAGUCAGGG